UACGUAGGGGGCAAGCGUUGUCCGGAUUUAUUGGGCGUAAAGAGCGUGUAGGCGGCUUUGCAAGUCCGUUGUGAAAACUCGAGCUCAACCUCGAGACGCCGGUGGAAACUGCAAAGCUAGAGUCCGGAAGAGGAGAGUGGAAUUCCUGGAUGUAGCGGUGAAAUGCGCAGAUAUCAGGAAGAACACCCCGUGGCGAAGGCGGCUCUCUGGGACGGUACUGACGCUGAGACGCGAAAGCGUGGGGAGCGAACAGG
rnacentral:rRNA from 1 species